UUCCCUCUGUUUAUGGUUUGUUUUAAAACCAUAACACAAUGUCACUAACCUGUCCAUUCAUACAUCACUUGUAUCACAUUCAUUGAGCAUAGAACAAGAUGUAGUCACAAUUUUCUAUUAUAUGAGAGUUCUUAGAAGGUCGAGUUUCUAUCCCUCAUACUGCUUACUUUACUUCAAAACUCCCUCUGUUUCAGCUAUGUAUUGAUAUCCAUAUCCAUGUUACAUCAUAACUACUUGAACAUAAUAUAUACAUAUAACAAUAAUAAAUGAAUAAAAUAAAAUAUUUACAAAUGUUGAUCCAAUAAACAAUAAAGCAAUCAGAAAGAUCUACCUGCUCAGGUACAGUCAUAUCUUUGUAGAUAACAAAAUCAAGAUGAUAACUUUCUAAAUAAUAAUAACUGUGUAUCACUAUCAUAUUCCUACAGACACAUAUAGCAUAGUAUUUUCAUUCUCAAUACCUGAUAUUACUUAAGUACUAAUACAUGUAUUGCUUGUAUAUCCGUGCACUUAUAUUUCCAUGAAUCAUAUGGUUUCUAGCAACCUUAAAAUCUUUAGGUCAUUUGUAUUCAAGAAUUGCAUUCCUAUACCAUUAAUACCACCUAGUGAUGAUUGUACCAGUACUUUACAAUCAUAGUAUUUAAUUUGUAUAUUCAGUAGGCUCUAACUACCUAAAAUAUAUCAACACUACUUAUAAGUCUCAUUCAAAGGAUGUGUUAUCAACCAUGAAGUUCUAUAAUAAUUCUUCAAAUAAUGUUCAUGGUGUUGACAAUACUUAUUGUCCUAGAUAUUCUCCACCCAGAAAUCUUUCUAUCAUAGAUUUGUUUUUGUUCACAUUAUUAUAAUUUUGACUAAAAUUCCACCUUGUAGUAACAAACUUUAAAUUCAAUCGGAGAAUGGUUUACUUUAAAAGAACUUGGAAAGAAUACUUUAAAUUAAUUAUCAUCACUCUCCUCAUUAGACCUUAAUUGUGAUGACUUAUUAAUGUAAUACAUCUUAAAAGCAGGAUUGUCCUAAUGUUAUGACCAAUCCAUAUUCCUUAGUACACUUCAACUGACUAAAAUAAAAUAAACAAAAAUAAACUUGGGGUCAUACUGCCCAGAAACUCUUAUUCCUAGUCUGUGUCUAACAAACUCAGGGAAAUCAUAAAACAACUUAACAACAUAUUCAAUUCAUUGGAUAUCACCAUAUCCAGAAACCUAUUCUCCCUAGUCCAUACCUUUAUAGACUUAGGUCAAAUAUAAUUGUGUACUAUACUCUUUCCAUUAAAUUCAAUUCCUCUUGGAUCUCUGAACUCUUAUAUCCAAGGCCUUCUUAAUGUAUAACAUUACUUAAUAUAAAUCAAUAUAAAUUAUUCUUCCUUAGUUUUCUUCCUUAUGUUACCAUUGUUUGUUUUACUUCACCUCGAUAUAAACAAAUUACUCAUUAUAGUUAAUCUAUGAAAUACUAUUGAACUCAAUCUUUGUGGUAUUAAGUAACCAUGAUCCUUAUUUUAUCGACUUCAUAUUUUAUCUUCCUCUGAUACUUCUCAUUCUAUG